GUAAUACUGAUAUCAUUAAUGAUUCAUUUCCCCUACAAAUAUCACAUUUACUAUAUUCUAAAUCUCCUAACAUACAAUCAAAUGUGUCUCACCAGUCGGUUUAUUUCAUGGUUCAAUAUAGUUUCUAGAAGCACUAUACUUCCAACCACCCUUUCUGUACAUUAAAUUUUUAAAGUUCUGACUUUCACCUAAUUCUUAAUGGUAGUUGUGAUCUUACUGGCUUUUCUCCCCUAGGCAGCUAAUUGCUUUCUUUUGAUGGUGAGCCUAGCCUUAACAACUGAGCCAUUGCUCUAGCCCUCUUACCGAGUUCUGAAAUCCACUGAAGUGCAGUAACAAAGCCUAACAUUGUUAUACUCAAAACAGACUGCAAAACUUAUCUUUUAAGUAAAACUCCAACUUUAUUGAACAAAGGAAUAAAUGGUGUUUUCAAGUUUUUGCAUCGUGGUUAAUUUUUAAGCCAUCUGAUCCAUGACAGUACUUAUCAAUACAAGAUGUUUGUCUAUUUUUGUCAUUUGUAUUUUGCUUAAUUUUAUAUUCAUAAAUAUACUUAAAUCAAUUAGUGGUACAAGGUAACACAUGGCACACAUGUUGCUUAAGCUGGUAAUAACAGAUAACAGCUCUAUAGUAACUUGCAGGUUCGUGUACAAAUUUGAAUUUUAUGCAAAAAUUUUGCUUUUAUUUUUUACAUUACUGGGACCUAGUGUCAGUUACAGAUAAACAAAUACUUGUUUUCUAUUUCCCAGCCAGAACAAAAAUCUGUAAUAUAACAUUUUCAUUAUGUAAGACUUUCUUUUUACAUUUUAGUUAGAAUGCCAUAUAGCCUUUUCUGAAACAAAAUGUCUGGGGUACUAAUGAAGGAAAAAGUUUAACAAGCUUAUUUAUUUAAAUCAAAUCCUCCAGUGAGAAAUGGAGGGUCUGCUGUCUUUACUUAGAAGGCUGUGUAAAUAGUCAUCUGUCAAAACUACAUACCCACAUGAACACAUGUGUGCAGUUCAACAACAGUCCCUACUGGAAACACGAGCACUCCACAUGACGGUUCCCACAGGACUUUUAAAGCCUCAGAAUUCUGUGUCUUCCCUGGCUUGCUUCUCUCGGGAUUCCACCCACGCUUUAUUAAUGGUUCGCUUCAUGUCAUCAUCUCCAUCUUCAUAAAUUUUCUUUAGAACAUUCAUUAAUCCCUCACUAGGAUCUGCCUCAGUGUCGUAGGAAGGCUUUUCUUUCUCUUUGCAUUCUUUUUCCACCUGAG
rnacentral:lncRNA from 1 species